rnacentral:rRNA from 1 species
AACGAACGCUGGCGGCGUGCCUAACACAUGCAAGUCUUACGGGAAAGUCUCCUUCGGGGGGCUAGUACCGUGGCGGACGAGUGAGUAACACGUGGGUAACCUGCCCUUGGGAUUGGGAUAACCUUGCGAAAGCGAGGCUAAUACCGGAUAAGACCACGACCCGCACGCGGGAUGUGGUAAAAGGCGGCCUCUUCAUGAAAGCUGUCACCUGAGGAUGGGCCCGCGGCCUAUUAGCUUGUUGGUAGGGUAACGGCCUACCAAGGCGACGAUGGGUAGCCGGCCUGAGAGGGUAUACGGCCACACUGGCACUGAGACACGGGCCAGACUCCUACGGGAGGCAGCAGUGGGGAAUUUUGCGCAAUGGGGGAAACCCUGACGCAGCAACGCCGCGUGAGUGAUGAAGGCCCUCGGGUCGUAAAGCUCUUUUAGUGGGGAAGAAAAUUUUGGGGACGAAUAAUCCCCAUUCCUGACGGUACCCACAGAAAAAGUUCCGGCUAACUACGUG